rnacentral:rRNA from 1 species
AGAGUUUGAUCCUGGCUCAGAUUGAACGCUGGCGGAAUGCUUUACACAUGCAAGUCGAGCGGCAGCGCGGGGGCAACCCUGGCGGCGAGCGGCGAACGGGUGAGUAAUACAUCGGAACGUACCCUGUCGUGGGGGAUAACUAACCGAAAGGUUAGCUAAUACCGCAUACGACCUGAGGGUGAAAGCGGGGGAUCGCAAGACCUCGCGCGAUAGGAGCGGCCGAUGUCAGAUUAGCUAGUUGGUGAGGUAAAGGCUCACCAAGGCGACGAUCUGUAGCGGGUCUGAGAGGACGGCCCGCCACACUGGAACUGAGACACGGUCCAGACUCCUACGGGAGGCAGCAGGGGGGAAUUUUAGACAAUGGGCGCAAGCCUGAUCCAGCCAUUCCGCGUGAGUGAAGAAGGCCUUCGGGUUGUAAAGCUCUUUCGCCAGGAACGAAACGGACUCUCCUAAUACGGGAGGCUAAUGACGGUACCUGAAGAAGAACACCGGCUAACUA